UGAGGAAUAUUGGUCAAUGGACGAGAGUCUGAACCAGCCAAGUAGCGUGCAGGAUGACGGCCCUAUGGGUUGUAAACUGCUUUUGUUUGGGAAUAAUCGACAUUACGUGUAAUGUUUUGCAUGUACCAUUCGAAUAAGGACCGGCUAAUUCCGUGCCAGCAGCCGCGGUAAUACGGAAGGUCCAGGCGUUAUCCGGAUUUAUUGGGUUUAAAGGGAGUGUAGGCGGUUGGUUAAGCGUGUUGUGAAAUGUAGAUGCUCAACAUCUGACUUGCAGCGCGAACUGGUUGACUUGAGUACACACAACGUAGGCGGAAUUCAUGGUGUAGCGGUGAAAUGCUUAGAUAUCAUGAAGAACUCCGAUUGCGAAGGCAGCUUACGGGAGUGUUACUGACGCUUAAGCUCGAAGGUGCGGGUAUCGAACAGG
rnacentral:rRNA from 1 species